CCAGACUCCUACGGGAGGCAGCAGUGGGGAAUAUUGCACAAUGGGGGGAACCCUGAUGCAGCGACGCCGCGUGGGUGAAGGAGUAUUUCGGUAUGUAAAGCCCUAUCAGCAGGGAAGAACAAUGACGGUACCUGACUAAGAAGCACCGGCUAAAUACGUGCCAGCAGCCGCGGUAAUACGUAUGGUGCAAGCGUUAUCCGGAUUUACUGGGUGUAAAGGGAGCGUAGACGGCGACGCAAGUCUGGAGUGAAAGCCCGGGGCCCAACCCCGGGACUGCUCUGGAAACUGCGUCGCUGGAGUACGGGAGGGGCAGGCGGAAUUCCUGGUGUAGCGGUGAAAUGCGUAGAUAUCAGGAGGAACACCGGCGGCGAAGGCGGCCUGCUGGACCGUGACUGACGUUGAGGCUCGAGAGCGUGGGGAGCAAACAGGAUUAGAUACCCCAGUACCC
rnacentral:rRNA from 1 species